GACACAUGAACAGCGCUAGGCAAUAUCAUUCAUGGGGCUCCGAAAAAAGGGGGAGAAUGGAGGAUUGCCUUGAGGGUCCGCACUUAGGCAAUCAUGAAUCCUAGCUCUAAACUCGAAGGUUGAGGACACAUGAACAACGCUAGGCAAUAACAUUCAUGGGGCUCCGAAAAAGGGGGAGAAUGGAGGAUUGCCUUGACGGUCCGCACUUAGGCAAUCAUGAAACAUAGCUGUAAACUCGAAGGUGGAGGACACAUGAACAGCGCUAGGCAAUAACAUUCAUGGGGCUCCGAAAAAAGGGGGAGAAUGGAGGAUUGCCUUGAUGG
rnacentral:lncRNA from 1 species